rnacentral:rRNA from 1 species
GACGAACGCUGGCGGCGCGCUUAACACAUGCAAGUCGAGCGAAGCGGCGGACGGGUGAGUAACACGUGAGUAACCUGCCUUAGACAUUGGGAUAGCCUCGGGAAACCGGGAUUAAUAGAUUCUGGAUGGGCUCGCGGCCUAUCAGCUUGUUGGUGGGGUGAUGGCCUACCAAGGCGGUGACGGGUAGCCGGCCUGAGAGGGUGAACGGCCACAUUGGAACUGAGAAACGGUCCAAACUCUACGGGAGGCAGCAGUGGGGAAUAUUGCACAAUGGAGGGAACUCUGAUGCAGCGACGCCGCGUGAACGAAGAAGGCUUUCGAGUCGUAAAGUUCUUUUAUAUGGGAAGCGGUACCAUAAGAAAAAGCCCCGGCUAACUACGUGCCAGCAGCCGCGGUAAUAC